rnacentral:rRNA from 1 species
CCUACGGGGGGCAGCAGUGGGGAAUAUUGCACAAUGGGCGCAAGCCUGAUGCAGCCAUGCCGCGUGUGUGAAGAAGGCCUUCGGGUUGUAAAGCACUUUCAGCGGGGAGGAAGGCGGUGAGGUUAACGACCUCAUCGAUUGACGUUACCCGCAGAAGAAGCACCGGCUAACUCCGUGCCAGCAGCCGCGGUAAUACGGAGGGUGCAAGCGUUAAUCGGAAUUACUGGGCGUAAAGCGCACGCAGGCGGUCUGUCAAGUCGGAUGUGAAAUCCCCGGGCUCAACCUGGGAACUGCAUUCGAAACUGGCAGGCUAGAGUCUUGUAGAGGGGGGUAGAAUUCCAGGUGUAGCGGUGAAAUGCGUAGAGAUCUGGAGGAAUACCGGUGGCGAAGGCGGCCCCCUGGACAAAGACUGACGCUCAGGUGCGAAAGCGUGGGGAGCAAACAGGAUUAGAUACCCGGGUAGUC